rnacentral:rRNA from 1 species
GGGGAAUAUUUGACAAUGGGCGCAAGCCUGAUCCAGCCAUGCCGCGUGGGUGCAGAAGGCCUUCGGGUUGUAAAGCCCUUAUGUUGGGACACAAAAGCAGCCGGCCAGUACCCGGUUGUUGUGAGGGUACACAAAGAAGAACGCCUGGCUAGCUUCGGUGCCAGCGCCGCGGUAAUACGAAGGGUGCAAGCGUUACUCGGAAUUACUGGGCGUAAAGCGUGCGUAGGUGGUGGUUUAAGUCCGUUGUGAAAGCCCUGGGCUCAACCUGGGAACUGCAGUGGAUACUGGAUCACUAGAGUGUGGCAGAGGGUAGUGGAAUUCCCGGUGUAGCAGUGAAAUGCGUAGAGAUCGGGAGGAACAUCAGUGGCGAAGGCGACUGCCUGGGCCAACACUGACACUGAGGCACGAAAGCGUGGGGAGCAAACA